GGGCUGUGACUGGAAUUGCAACUAAAGAAGAGCCUAACUAUGAAUAUAUGGCUAUAUGAAUACUAUACAGGAUUAGAUACACAAAUAAAUAAAUAGAAUGCCUUCUUUUGUAUAAGUGAAUAUAUACAUAAAAUAUCAGCCCAUAAAAAGCCUCUUCUAAUGCAAUAUGCAUAGAGCAGUGUGCAUUAUCCAAACAGGAUGAUUUAAACAACAGCAUUUCCACGAGCUUUACAUAAAGUAUUAAACAUGGUCACAAUUUAUCAAACUUAUCAGAGUACAAAAGCAAUGAUAACUCCACGAUAAUGUAAUACAGGUUAAAAAUGUGUUAUAUACAGUAUGUCACAAAUAAGCAUUACAAAGACCAACAGAUUCAUACCUCAGGUGAUUUGUAGAAAUAUUCAGCAAGCUGGAGUGACUGACAUGAGAAUGCUUUCCAAAACAGAAAAGUCUUCCCAAGCCCAAACUUUUGAACGGUAGUGUAUUUAUUCUUAAAUAAUAUCACAUUAUACUACUGAAUCUAAAAAAUGUUUCAAUUAAAUAUUUCCCUUUCGGUUAGGAAACAAACAGCUUGGCACAGCAUUAACUGAUUAAGGGAAGCUACUGUAUAAAGAUACAACAUGUUACACUUUUGACUUUUGCAUUGAGAAAGGGGGAUAGGUCUGCACAAAACCCACAUUUUGAGAGCCGGAGGUGUUGACAUGGAUGUUCACCCUAAAGAGCAUCUUACUGGUUAACAUUAUUCAAUAGCCUAAUUGACAUCAGGAGAAAAGAAAAGAAUGAUUUAAAGACUAAAACCGGGAGCUAAUCUGGAAGUUUACUCAAUGCGUCUCAUGAAUAAUUACAGCUCCAUUUCCUCACCAGGGUCAGCCAUCUCAACCCUUGACAAUAAGUCACCCCUUCAUUAGCGCACUUUAAAAGGGUGACGAGCAAACUAAUUAUCUCUGGAGUGAAUAUCAGCUCAUUAAUAUAUGCAAAGACAUAACACAGAAAGAAAAAACUACAUUCCAGUUCACUUCAAAAUAAGAGUGCAGCACCACAAAAGCUUCAUCAAAAAUAGAUUGUAAAAGCGAGACAGUGUGGCGCAGGUGGUUUCAAAUGUCACUGACGGAUGAAUAAGGACAGCGAGCUGACAAAAUGUACAUUAUUCAAGCGUUUAACAUCAGCAAACUCCACAGCGCUGAGCUUGAAGUUCAACGGCAUCACUUUUAACUGAUUCUGACACCUCCAUCUAAUCAAUACACUCCAUUUGCUUCAAUAAUUAAAGCAGAAAGACACUUCUUUAAUUUAUUAUUCAGAUUAUCCAUGCAGGGUUUUGGUCCGAGUUAUACGAAAUAAUUAGCGAUUUAAAUGAAAACAUUUGCUUUUGAUAAGUCAGAGUCAUUCAUUUCGCAUUACAUGCUGAUUUAUAAAGAUCACACGUCUGGUUUGGAAAGAUUCAGAAGGUGAACAAUUAAUCACCAAUCAAAACGUAUCAACCUGGAGUUAAUAAAUACACCGAAAGGUGAAACGAGGGUUCAAAGGGAAAAGGGAGAUAAUCAGAUCAUCUACAUCUGAUUAGCAUAAACAUCUGCAUCAUUUGGUGGCCCUGGGAGAUCAAAUGGACGUGCGAAUGGUAGAUGCCUUUUCACAGUGAUUUGAGAUUUCAUCUGCUGUUCUCCAGCAGUAUUUAAGAUUAGGAUUUAUUUAUGUACCACACAGUGAAAACCGAAACCCUUCUGCCUCCAUGUCAGUAGUUUCCUUUCAACACGACUCCAGUCCUGUGGUCUCAUAGGCUGACCUCACAUCACACUGAUUCAUUCUUUAUAAAGCCAUAUUAAUAUUUCACGUAUACCUCAGUAGUCGUCGAAUGCUAAUACUAAAGCUCUCAAAGUACUCGUUUUCUAAAAAAUAACUGUGCUUCAUACGCAUACAAAGCCACUGGUUAAGGAUUGUUAAAAUUCACAGCCUUGUGAUUCAAAAAACAUAAAAACCCAAACACAUUGCUCAGGCGGUUGCAUAUUGAUUCUUCGAAUCCGAAACGC
rnacentral:lncRNA from 12 species